rnacentral:tRNA from 1 species
GGUUUAAUAGUUUAAUAAAAACAUUGAUUUUGUAAGUCAAAAUUAAAUAAAAUUUUUAAACCU